GUGUGAACGCGGGUCUAUGGAGCGCAUACGGCACGUACGCGUGUAAUAGAUGCGUGUAUGCGUUAGCACAGAAGCGUUAGGGGUUGGAAGGCACCUCUGAAAUCAUGUCGGCCUACCCUCCUGCUCAGACAGGGUCACCUGGAGUAGGUACCACGGGAUCGCGUUCAGUCUUCCAUCUGAAUUUGAAACAUACUUCUCCCAAAACACCACCCACUUCAAUUUCUGAACUAUGCAAUUCAGUCUAAUCAAGAUCUCAUUCAAAAAGAGAAUGAUAUAUAAUCAUCUGAGGCUCCAAUGUCACCUUAAAGUUCUACUUUGCUGGAAGGAAAAAAACAUAAAUAUGACACGUAAUUUCAACCCAUUGAAUUGCAUUAGUUUACACUCUGCUUCCACAAUGACCUGCCUGUGUGUUGGCAAUGCACAGUAUGCAUACUUGGAAGUGCUUAGCAGUCAGGGUCUCUUGUACAGCUGUAAUCUUAACUGCCUGUCUCUCAUUACAACAAGGGAAAUAGUUGAAUGGCUUCAUUAAUAUUUUGCCCAAAAUAACAUCUAGGUAUGUUUAGGUAGUGGUAACCUUACUCCCACAUGUAGAAGGCAAAAUUUGGAGAUCCCCUUCAUUAUCUCAUAUAAGGUAUCAAUCUGAAAGAUCUUCAAAAUAACCAGGUUUUUGUUUGUUUGAGGUGAUGACCCCCUCAGUAGCUAAUAAACCCUUGAACUUGUAAACGUGAAGUAUGGUCUGCCUGAAGAUGGCAGUAUUUGAUUUGGAAGAAUAAAUCCUGGAGAGAAAUGCA